rnacentral:rRNA from 1 species
GACGAACGCUGGCGGCGUGCUUAACACAUGCAAGUCGAACGGAAAGGCCCUGCUUUUGUGGGGUGCUCGAGUGGCGAACGGGUGAGUAACACGUGAGUAACCUGCCCUUGACUUUGGGAUAACUUCAGGAAACUGGGGCUAAUACCGGAUAGGAGCUCCUGCUGCAUGGUGGGGGUUGGAACGUUUCGGCGGUUGGGGAUGGACUCGCGGCUUAUCAGCUUGUUGGUGGGGUAGUGGCUUACCAAGGCUUUGACGGGUAGCCGGCCUGAGAGGGUGACCGGACACAUUGCGACUGAGAUACGGCCCAGACUCCUACGGGAGGCAGCAGUGGGGAAUAUUGCACAAUGGGCGGAAGCCUGAAGCAGCAACGCCGCGUGCGGGAUGACGGCCUUCGGGUUGUAAACCGCUUUCGCCUGUGACGAAGCGUGAGUGACGGUAAUGGGUAAAGAAGCACCGGCUAACUACGUG